CCUGAACCCGUCCACCCAUCUUCAUCAUUUCAGGAACUACAGAGGGAUUUCCAUUUGGACCACCAAAUCACCAGGGCCAUCGAAAAGAUGCACAUUAGGCUGCCAUCAGUUCCACUGCCCACCAUCCUAAAUUUAAGCCCACUAAGCAGUCCAGGGAAGGGCAGGAAAUGUGGAAAGCUUUGUUGUUCAAAUGUAUGUUGGCAUCAUAUGACAAAUUCACUGUCACACACGUGAACACAUACAGGAUGGCGGUUAUAACACCACUGACAUCACUUCCGGUGUCCAACCUCCUGGACCCGCCUCUUCCUGCCGGAGACCCCCAUCUUGAGACAGUUCAGUUGGAGCACAGACAGGUGAAGUGACCUGCUCAGGGUGGUCAC